rnacentral:rRNA from 1 species
AUACAGAGGGAGCAAGCGUUAUUCGGAAUCACUGGGCGUAAAGGACGCGUAGGCGGGUUUGUAAGUCAGGUGUGAAAUCCUACAGCUCAACUGUAGAACUGCACUUGAAACUACAGACCUAGAGUAUGGAAGGGGCAGAUGGAAUUAGUGGUGUAGGGGUAAAAUCCGUAGAUAUCACUAGGAAUACCGAAAGCGAAGGCGAUCUGCUGGGACAUUACUGACGCUGAGGCGUGAAAGCGUGGGGAGCAAACAGGAUUAGAAACCCCAGUAGUCC